GAAAUGCGAUAAGUAGUGUGAAUUGCAGAAUUCAGUGAAUCAUCGAAUCUUUGAACGCACAUUGCGCCCCUCGGUAUUCCGUGGGGCAUGCCUGUUCGAGCGUCAUCUACACCCUCAAGCUCUGCUUGGUGUUGGGCGUCUGUCCCGCCUCCGCGCGCGGACUCGCCCCAAAUGCAUUGGCAGCGGUUCCUUGCCCCCCUCUUUGCGCAUCACAUUGCCAUUCGAGGCGGCGGCGGCCCGCGUCCAACAAGCUCAACCCCCCCGUCUUUGACCUCGGAUCAGGUAGGGAUACCCGCUGAACUUAAGC
rnacentral:misc_RNA from 1 species